UAUAGUACUACACUGAAAAUGCUUGAUCUCAUCUGAUUUCAGAAGCAAAGCAGAGUUUGGCCUUAUUGGUACUUGGGUGAGGAGAGCACUAGAUAAGGCCAAGGACUACUAUAC
rnacentral:rRNA from 1 species